rnacentral:rRNA from 1 species
UGGGGAAUUUUGGACAAUGGGCGAAAGCCUGAUCCAGCAAUGCCGCGUGUGUGAAGAAGGCCUUCGGGUUGUAAAGCACUUUUGUCCGGAAAGAAAUCCUUGGCUCUAAUACAGUCGGGGGAUGACGGUACCGGAAGAAUAAGCACCGGCUAACUACGUGCCAGCAGCCGCGGUAAUACGUAGGGUGCAAGCGUUAAUCGGAAUUACUGGGCGUAAAGCGUGCGCAGGCGGUUUGCUAAGACCGAUGUGAAAUCCCCGGGCUCAACCUGGGAACUGCAUUGGUGACUGGCAGGCUAGAGUAUGGCAGAGGGGGGUAGAAUUCCACGUGUAGCAGUGAAAUGCGUAGAGAUGUGGAGGAAUACCGAUGGCGAAGGCAGCCCCCUGGGCCAAUACUGACGCUCAUGCACGAAAGCGUGGGGAGCAAACAGGAUUAGAUACCCUGGUAGUCCACGCCCU